rnacentral:rRNA from 1 species
GGCGUGAAGGGCAGGGGCUCAACCUCUUGGACUGCGUUGGAUACUUCCGUGCUUGAGGACUGGAGGGGAGACUGGAAUUCACGGUGUAGCAGUGAAAUGCGUACAUCUCGUGAGGAAGACCGGUGGCGAAGGCGAGUCUCUGGACAGAUCCUGACGCUGAGGCACGAAGGCUGGGGGAGCGAACAGGAUUAGAUACCCUGGUAGUCCCAGCAGUAAACGAUGUGAGCUUGAUGUGGGGGGAGUCGACCCGUUCCGUGACGAAGCUAACGCGAUAAGCUCACCGCGUGAGGAGUACGGCCGCAAGGCUGGACUCAAAGAAAUUGACGGGGACCCGCACAAGCGGUGGAGUAUGUGGCUUAAUUCGAUGCAACGUGAAGAACCUUACCUGGCCUUGACAUGCAUUGUGUCGUCGGUGAAAGCCGGCUAGUCCUGGAGACAGGACGCUUUGCACAGGUGCUGCAUGGCUGUCGUCAGCUCGUGUCGUGAGAUGUUGGGUUACGUCC